rnacentral:rRNA from 1 species
UACGGGGGGGGCAAGCGUUGUUCGGAAUUACUGGGCGUAAAGGGCUCGUAGGCGGCCAACUAAGUCAGACGUGAAAUCCCCAGGCUCAACCUGGGAACUGCGUCUGAUACUGGAUGGCUUGAAUCCGGGAGAGGGAUGCAGAAUUCCAGGUGUAGCGGUGAAAUGCGUAGAUAUCUGGAGGAAUACCGGUGGCGAAGGCGGCAUCCUGGACCGGCAUUGACGCUGAUGAGCGAAAGCUAGGGGAGCAAACGGG